CAGGGUCUUCUUAAAAUCAUAAUACAAAGAUUUGUGCUGUAGCAGUCCUCCACUUUGCACUGUAACAAUAAGGCUUACUGUACUUUAAAUACAAAGCUGUUACAUCUGCAGUUAUGAACCACUGGCUUUAACAAACAUCAUUUUAUAAUUGCUUUUUGCUUCCUUUUUGUUUUCUGGGACCGCAGCUUCAUCGUGUUUUUCAGCAGCUUGCAGUUCCUCUGCAGAUUCAUCUUGCUCUGAAUCAGAGCCACUUUCGGAGUCCUCUGAACUCUCAUGGUCAGAGGAAUGCCCAGCUGCCUCUUCUUCACCUUCCUGAAAUACCUCACUGAAACCCAGUCCACAAUGGCGCCGGUUUCGUCCAGACAUCGUGCUGUCCAUGCUCUGCUGGUACUGAGACUCCAGUUCUUCAUUCAUUUUCUUGUCUUCUUCCCCUGUCCUGAAGUGAGAGGUUGAUCUGUGGUCUCCGAUAACAAGGCGGCCAGUAUGUUCUUUCUUCCCCGCGCCCAUCAGCCUCAGGAACUUCUGCUUCCUCUCCUCGUUGCCGAGGUCCGCUGCCUGCCAGCUGCCGGAGCCGUCGGGAGAGGCCGCUCGCUUGAGGCCGUGGCGAGCCUGCGACUCCCGGGCCGAGCUCAUGGCCGCGGCUGGGUGACCGGGCCGCUGCGCCGCCUUCCUGCCGGAGCCGCUCCCUCCGCCGGCGCCGGGUCACGGCCCCGGGGUCGAGCGCGAGGGACGCCGGGAUCGGUA
rnacentral:lncRNA from 1 species